rnacentral:rRNA from 1 species
UACGGGGGGGGCAAGCGUUGUUUGGAAUUACUGGGCGUAAAGGGCUCGUAGGCGGCCAACUAAGUCAGACGUGAAAUCCCUCGGCUUAACCGGGGAACUGCAUCUGAUACUGGAUGGCUUGAGUUCGGGAGAGGGAUGCGGAAUUCCAGGUGUAGCGGUGAAAUGCGUAGAUAUCUGGAGGAACACCGGUGGCGAAGGCGGCAUCCUGGACCGACACUGACGCUGAGGAGCGAAAGCCAGGGGAGCAAACGGG